UGAAUGCCCGUGCGUUGCCACGGACACACGAAAUCCGAAAUAUGAUGUGAAAAGAUUACUCGACAAAGUGAUAGCAUGGACUUGGAUAUUUUAAAUGAGUGCUUUUUAUAGAAUAUAUUUUGACAAAAAACAAUGUUAAAGGUAAUUCAAAAUCCAUGAACAUGGAUAAACUUGUUUUUAAAUGUAGAUAAUAACUAAAUCAUCCGUGAAAUUAGCACAUCUCUUAAAACACCAUAGACACAAACAAACAUGACGAAACAGUCACCUACAUAGUAGAUACAAACCAAGUACGUGAUAACACUUACAGAUUGAAACACACAAUCAUGCGUAAUAGACAUAACCAAUGUCUACUAUAUGUACUACAUGCGCUGAGCUUUCUUUGUAUACAUUCUGUGUCGGGAAUCCUUUGUAGACAACUCGCUUGCUAGGAAAGCCCACCUCCACUCAAUAAAUUGCUGAACAAACUUCAUAUCAAUCAACCCACCAGUUAUUUUCUGGCGAAUAUCUGCAAAAAUAUAUAUCAUAAAUGUUGCAUUUAAUAAUAUUUAAACUUUGUGUACAUAUGUUAAUAACAAUCAUAAGUAAUUGAUUGGUAGUUGAUAAUAAGUCAUGACUACUCACCAUCAAGUGUGCGUGCUGCAGUAUGAUCCGGAUUGAAUGCAAGGGUGGUGUAGUUUGAAGUUUCCGGAAUUCCUAUUGCCAAGAUAAAAAAGUAUUUAAGUCGACAUAACAGUACACUUGAUAAUCACUGUGUAGUUUGAAGUUUCCAGAAUUCCUAUUGCCAAGAUAAAAAAAUAUUUAGGUCGACAUAACAGUACACUUGAUAAUCACUGUGAAAGUAAGACCAUGAAAUGGUAAGGUUGAUAAUCACAGUGAAAGUAUACCUUGUGGUGUAAUAUUUGCUCUUCUUGGUUUGUUAUGACGCGAAUUUGCUAUUUCUAUCUGCACAUUGCUCUUGUUGAUAGGUUCAUUUUCAUGGUUAACAAUAUCCAUAUCUAUCAGUGACACAUUCUACGAAGUGAAAUAUAUAUACAAAUAUAUGAAUUAAAUAUAGUACUGCCAUAGUAUGAAUUAAAUAUAGUACUGCCAUAUUUCCCCAGUAAUAGUAUAAUAAUUCAUAUGUAACAUGCAAAAUAAAAGAUUAAAAAGACAAACAUCUAAGAAGUUUGAUAGCACUGACAGACUGCCUAAAUAUCUCGGUUCUACAAUAUAUUAUAUAAUAUAGAGCCUUGCCAAGAAAACAAUUGUACAGUUGUGACUCAGUCUCACUUUGUCCUCACCGCUCACCCCUUUUCCCUUUAGCUAGCCACCCACCCAGCUCCCCUAUGCAGCCGCCCACGCGUCAUGGGCGCAUCCGCACACAUCGUGCGACGGCGCGAGGCACCCAUCCCAGCCCAACUCCCCCCCCCCCGCCUCUUAACCAUUCCUGCAGCCUGGCUGCGCCUUCGCGAGCCUCACACACCUGCCCCCAUCACUCCUUGCUUUCCGGCGAUAUCCGGGGGGCAGCGCUCUCGCAGACGCGCGCGCAGUCUGGGCGGCGGCAUCCACCACGCGGCGCCCCCUGCUCCGCGUCCCCCGCUGCGAUGACGACACGCACGGUCGGAAUCUUCUGGUGGUAACGCCCGACGACUGGCGCGUGGCGUGCAGCGUGAGGAGACCCUGCAACAAGCCAUGCUUGCCCGGAUGGGCGGAGAUCGAGCAGGAGUGGAUUCUGUGGUGCACCAGGAUGAGGGUGCCCACGAAUCUUACCUUGUCACGGCCGGCUCUCCUCUCUCCCUCCGCGUUAUGCAUUGGUAGCUUUGUUGGAUUGGCAACGCCGGUGAAGUUCGAUAUUGGAGGUAAGCAAAAAUCUCGAGGUAGAUUGAGUCUCUAUAUACUCCCUCCGUCCCAAAAUUCUUGUACCCUACAAGAAUUUUGGGACGGAGGGAGUAUAUACAAGGCUAGCUAGAUGAGUAGUAUCGAUAUACGGUUAGGAUUAGGGGUUGUUUGGAUUGGGUACGGAGUUUUUGCCAAUUCUGUUUCCCGUAAACUCAUUUGAAGGGCUAAUCACCUGAAAUUUGCGGAAUUGAUAACUUCCGAACGCACUGCGCUUUGUGUUUCGAUCCGAACGUGUUCUGUACCGUUAGAUCAAUUGGCGUGGAUCUUGAAGCAUGUGCUUGACACGUCAUGUUUCUCGUUCGUUCGUUCCAGGAACUCCUCGGCCCGAACGAACGCCUUAUCCUCUCCACCGUCACUUUUUCCUUCUGGGCUUCUUUUCCCCAUCCCCAUCGUCUUCACUGAGAGAGAGAGAGAGUCGAGCUGGAGCAGCCGCGCCUUGCCGCCGCUCACCGGUGAGGCCUCGCGGCGCCCCGUUGGUGGCUUAGAUUUCGGGGAGGCGCUCGAGGGGAGCGACGGCGGCGGAGACCUGGGAGGCGGCGGAGGUGCUGCUCGCAGGAAGUGGCGGUGGCGGCGGCUGCCACACCAGCGGAGCUGUCCAAUGCCGCAGCAGGGCCUACCACGGCACCGGCAAGCUGCCUGCACUGCAAGCGGGGAGCGACGCCGGCGGCGACCUGGGAGGCAGCAGAGGUGCUGCUAGCAGGGAGCGGCGGCGGCGGCGACCGACCCUCCAGUGGAGCUAUUCAACGCCGCAGCGGGGCCCUACAACGGCUUCGGCACGUUGCCUGCGCAGGGGCCUACCACGGCGCCGCGAUUUCCUCUGGCUUGUCGACAAGGUGCGGCUCUUCUUGGCGCGGCCGAGGACGAUGGUCAUGGGCAACGUGCCAGAGACGCCCAUCUACCGGUGGAUGGACCAGUACACGACGUGCUCGACGGCACCCUUCGCGAGAAGAUCACCCGGUGGAUUGACGACGACGACGAACGAACCUCGUCCUCAACAUGUGUGAGCGAUUGGCAGCAUCGACACCAGUGGUACGAGUAUGCAUUUCGACAUGGCAAAUUUUGUGUGGAAGAUGCUUAAACAGGUGCAUCUUUGACCAAGUAUAGGACGGGCAGAUGUCGCGAAAGGAAUACUCAUGGUUUCUGAAGACUGACUAUGCUCCCUCGAGUACUACGCAGCAACAAACUCAGGAUAACUCAGUCGAGAACUUUAAAAGAGCAAACAAGAUUCUGGCUUCGGAGUCUGAGCCGGUUCAAAUAUGGGAUUUCUCUGCGCGAACAACCUUCAUAUGGAUGAAUGAAUGGAACCGUAUGCCCCAAGAUCCUCGGUCUAAGAUCCUCGGCCUUCUGACCAGGAGGUCAUAUCUUCUCGAUCUAAUUUGCCAUUCUAUUGCCUAUGCUUAAUUUCUUGCAUAAGAUUGUUAUAAAUUAAUUGUACAGUUGUGUUGGUCAUAGUCUUUUAUCUCCUAGCUACUUCUUAAGGCUUUUCUACUGCAUUACUACUAAUUAGCCAAAUUAAUCACCAUUUCUGUUAUUUCCUCCUGCAACAACGUAAUUUUAUUUGAAUGCGGAGCACUGGAACGCUAUAUUGCUGGUUUUUUGAGUAAACAUUCACUGUCCUAAUGAAAAAUUUCUACUUUAGUGACUUGAAUUUUCAUGUGCACAUGGGUAGCAAGUAAGUAAUAGUUGCUUUUAAGCGGGUUGAAAUUGAAAGUAUGCUUAUAGCCCCCAUCUUCUCCGAGCUUUUGAAAUCUAACCUCGGCUCAAUGCUGGAGUGCUAAAUUCGGCUGAUGCCUGAAGUUCUACUUAUGUCUGGCAAGUUAUAAGCAUGUUUAGCAUUGUAUAUAUUGGUACUGGUACCCCCCUCCCUCCAUAAUAUCAAAGACGAUGACCGAUCUGGAUUGAGCCGGCUUCCUCAAAAUAGAUGAGUUGGCUUCUGCUAGGUUAAUCCAGACUCGACUGGCCUGACUAAACAAAGUAUACACCAUGUUGUACUUAUGCUUUUGUUCAGUCCUUAAAGGUUGAGUUAAGUAUCUUUGUAAUGUAGGUAAUUUGCUCAGACAUCAUGAAUGCAUUUUAUUUGUAGGCAACAGGUGAGGAUGGUGGCAGGAGGAUGUACCUGCGGCGUGAGGAGAUGGGUGCAGGAACAGCCGGCGCGCGGAGGUGGCUGGUUCCGACGGCCUCAGGUGAGGAUGGUGGCAGGAGGAUGUACCUGCGGCGUGAGGAGAUGGGUGCAGGAACAGACGGCCUUGGUGAGCAACACCAUGAGAGGAGAUGGGUGCAGGAACAGACGGCCUUGGUGAGCAACACCAUGAGACGGGAGCAGAGGUUGCUGGUUCCGGCGUGGCCGGACUGGUUCCGUUCCGGCGGAUGUGGCCGGAGGGCGAGUAUGGGUCCAGCGAGAGGAAAAACUGGCGUUCCUGGUGACGUGCGAUGACGGCUCGAUGGAGCUUCCGCACUUGUUUCUUUGUUUGGUUUGGCUGGGACGUGUCUUUUUUUUGGUUUGUUUUUUUGGUCAAUGCAUGGAGUACUGUUGUUUUUCUUUGGCCGGUGCGUGAUCGUGGUACUGUUGUUUUUCUUUGGCCGGUGCGUGAUCGUGGAUUGAGUCGUAACUGUUGUUUUUCUUUGGCCGGUGCGUGAUCGUGGGCUGAGUUGGUGGAGAUGUA